CUACGGGGUGCUCCAGUGGGGAAUAUUGGACAAUGGGGGAAACCCUGAUCCAGCAAUGCCGCGUGUGUGAAGAAGGCCUGCGGGUUGUAAAGCACUUUCGGUUGGGAGGACUGCUUCUAGCACUAAUAUUGUUGGAAGUUGACGUUACCUUCAGAAGAAGCACCGGCUAACUCCGUGCCAGCAGCCGCGGGAAUACGGAGGGUGCAAGCGUUAAUCGGAAUUACUGGGCGUAAAGCGCGCGUAGGCGGCUAGAUCAGUCGGGUGUGAAAGCCCCGGGCUUAACCUGGGAACUGCAUCCGAUACUGUCUAGCUUGAGUACAGGAGAGGAGAGUGGAAUUCCACAUGUAGCGGUGAAAUGCGUAGAUAUGUGGAGGAACACCAAUGGCGAAGGCAGCUCUCUGGCCUGAUACUGACGCUGCGGUGCGAAAGCGUGGGGAGCAAACAGGAUUAGAUACCCCCGUAGUC
rnacentral:rRNA from 1 species